rnacentral:rRNA from 1 species
UACAGAGACUGCGAGCGUUAUUCGGAUUCACUGGGCGUAAAGGGUGCGCAGGCGGCCAAGUGUGUGAGGCGUGAAAGCCUGGGGCUUAACUCCAGAAUUGCACCUCAAACUACAUGGCUAGAGCAUUGGAGAGGGUAGCAGAAUUCACGGUGUAGCAGUGAAAUGCGUAGAUAUCGUGAGGAAUACCAGAGGCGAAGGCGGCUACCUGGACAAUUGCUGACGCUCAGGCACGAAAGCGUGGGGAGCAAAAGGGAUUGAG